rnacentral:rRNA from 1 species
GACAGAGGUGCCGAGCGUUAGGCGGAAUCACUGGGCUUAAAGCGUGUGUAGGCGGAUUUGUAAGUACCUUGUGAAAUCCCACGGCUCAACCGUGGAACUGCUUGGUAUACUGCUUAUCUUGGGCCAUCUAGGGGCUAGCGGAACAAACGGUGGAGCGGUGAAAUGCGUAGAUAUCGUUUGGAACGCCAAUGGUGAAAACAGGUAACUGGGAGUGUGCCGACGCUGAGACACGAAAGCCAGGGGAGCGAACGGG